AUGUCUGUAGGUUAUGGGAUUGGAUCUCCCUUUUCUAAGACUCUACAGAAUGAUGUUGUGCACAUCCAAAUCCAAGCAAUGACCCUUCCAUGGUGCUCAGCCACAGUCCGAUUUCGAGGGAGAAUAGGAGACCCCGACGAAAACGAGCGUCCUAGCGGCGAACCCAAGGAUGCUAGUGAUUAUGGCAGGUCCAUGCUCCAGUUCUUCUAUUGGGCUACUCCCCCAAUGGUGAAAAUCCCCUACAGAAUGGUGCUGGAUGUCCUUUUAGAAUCUUUGGGCCUGCCAGUGGCUGAUUAUCGAACCAAAGCAUGCGAGGGUGGUUUGAAGUUACGAAGAACCCCAUUUUCAUUCAGAUAUGCACGCCUUUUUGUCAUGCAAAGUCUUUGCAUUUAG
rnacentral:rRNA from 1 species